rnacentral:rRNA from 1 species
GAUGAACGCUGGCGGCGUGCCUAAUACAUGCAAGUCGAGCGACCAGACGAGGAGCUUGCUCCUCUGACGUUAGCGGCGGACGGGUGAGUAACACGUGGAUAACCUACCUAUAAGACUGGGAUAACUUCGGGAAACCGGAGCUAAUACCGGAUAAUAUAUUGAACCGCAUGGUUCAAUAGUGAAAGACGGUUUUGCUGUCACUUAUAGAUGGAUCCGCGCCGCAUUAGCUAGUUGGUAAGGUAACGGCUUACCAAGGCGACGAUGCGUAGCCGACCUGAGAGGGUGGACGGCCACACUGGAACUGAGACACGGUCCAGACUCCUACGGGAGGCAGCAGUAGGGAAUCUUCCGCAAAGGGCGAAAGCCUGACGGAGCAACGCCGCGUGAGUGAUGAAGGUCUUCGGAUCGUAAAACUCUGUUAUUAGGGAAGAACAAAUGUGUAAGUAACUAUGCACGUCUUGACGGUACCUAAUCAGAAAGCCACGGCUAACUACGUG